UGACCUUCGAGUUCUGUAAGUAUCUAGGUAGUGCUGAUGGUUCCUUCCAUGAUACAGUGACGAGGGGAAUUUGCAGGUAUAGAGGUAGAAUAAGAUAUGCCCCCCAAAUAUUUUCUCCAGUGAUUUUUUCCCCAUACUCCUCAGUACAUCACAGUGAGCCUAUCAAUGGCAGCUCCCAUGGUCGUUGUUGAAGUCACAGUAGGUGAUGAUGUGGGCCUAAGUCACAGCACAGACUCUCUGAUCCUCAGAUACCUAGGUCCCUGUGAAGAGAUGAUGAUGAACCUAACACUAGUCAUUGUCUGCGGACAUUUCUGUUACCCAGGUAGGUGAUGAUGUUCACCUUCACCAUUUCAAAUCAUCGGAUUUUCACAUACCAGGUAAGUGUGAAUGAUGGACUAAACUUGCUUGCCAUGUGUUUGUUUGUUUGUUUGUUUUUUCAGAUAAUCAGGUAAGAAAUGAUAGAGUCCUUAACAAUUGUAAUAAGCAUGAGUUUAUACUUUCCACAUGUUAGAGAAAAAUGUAUGUUUAAUCUUGUAAGUAUUGAGGAGUCGAUCCUGUCUAGGCAAUUGUGGUGGAGUGUCACCACAGUGGUAACCAUAGGGUUUUGCCAGGUAUCCAGUCAAGUAGUGUUCGUCUCUUCUGACAACACUGUUGACCUCGAGUAGGUGCGAGGAUGCGGGUGGAGUUGAUGUGUUCCAUAAUAACGGAAGUGAACAAGGAUAGGUGCAGGUGUCUUAGAACAAAUUGGAUCUUAAACUCAUCUGUAUGUGUUUCUUCAGGUCCCUGUGAAGAAAACAGAGUGAACUGAAAAUGGUUUUUAACACAACCUAGCUAGGAACCAGGUAUCAGGUGAAGAUCUUCACUAGUAUGCAGGUAUGAGAUGUGAUAUUAACUGAUUAAAGACCUCUUAUUGUUUUAGGUUUAUUUGUUUAUUUGAGACAGAG